rnacentral:rRNA from 1 species
GAUCCUGGCUCAGGACGAACGCUGGCGGCGUGCUUAACACAUGCAAGUCGAACGAGAGGACAAGAGAAGCUUGCUUCUUUUGGAAUCGAGUGGCAAACGGGUGAGUAACACGUAUCCAACCUUCCCGUUACUCUGGAAUAGCCUUUCGAAAGAAAGAUUAAUACCGGAUAGUAUCGAGAGAUUGCAUGAUUACCCGAUUAAAGAUUCAUCGGUAACGGAUGGGGAUGCGUUCCAUUAGGCAGUUGGCGGGGUAACGG